AUGCUGGGAGAGGGCAGAGGGUAUCCCACCCCUUUCCCAGGGCAGGCCUGUCCCCUGGGGGCACUCCGCCCCUGCGCUGCUGUCCCAGCUCUACCGGGCAGGGAGGUGGAGGCUCCAAGUGUGGGGUGUGGUGUGAUCCACCUGGAGGACCCCCCACCGUCCCCGGGCCUAAGCAGAGCCGCUGGGCUCUGGGACCUCCGCCCCUCCAACAACGUCGGAGCUUCAUCCUUCUGUGUCCUGGACGACUCCCCACUCAGCACCGCGCUAGCUGCUCCACAGCAGAAUCAGCUGCCACCCGAGGAGGCCACGCCGGGCCGCUCUCCUGUGCUGGAAGACCGCUCAGCAGUACGCUCCCAAAGCCUUCUGCGGUCAGCUCUUUCGCUUGGAACCGCACCUCUGCAAGCUCAUCCUUGGGACGCAGAGACAGUUGUCCUUUCACUGCUGCGACAGAAAACGUGCACGAGCCAGCGUGGACCAGGGAGGGCUUCUUAGGGCUUCUGGUUCAGAGCUUUCUGUCCGUGGCUGUGGGUGCCAUUGCUUCGGGCUGUGGUGAGACACAAGGGCGGGUGACAGGACAGUGCCCAGGGGCAGCCAGUAGGACAGACAGUGCACAAGCCCAGGGGGAAGGCCCCGCCCAAGCUCCAACCCCGCGCCCCUCUCCCCCCAGCGGGCCAUCAAAUUAUGACCUCAUCUCACAAGGGCCUUGCCUGUGCCCGGACUCCCCACACAUGAAGGCUUCACUCCCAGGGUGGGAAGGAGGAACCAGAACCAGGCUGCCUUCGUCACAAAGCCGGGCUCACUGAUGGCGACAGUGUGAUGCUCCCUGUGAUGUGUGGGCUUGACCAGGGCAGGGAGUGCCCCGCAGACGGGCAGAUUCGGAGCACGUUCGUGGACGGCGGACGUGCAGGCCCAGCCCAGGGGAGAACUCGCUCACCGGACGUGAGGGCACCGGCCGAGGAGCUGGAGCCCAGGUGGAGCGCAAGGGAGCGGAGGAGGAAGUCUGCUCUGCCUCUCUGGGGGAGCGCAGCCUCGCCCCUGCCUUUGGACAGCUGUGUCAGCCCUCCAGGCCUCCAGCACGGUCUCUUCUGUUCUCCAACACGACUUACACUGAGCUCCAGGCCCUUGGCCUUCGCUGACCCCCGCUCUCCAGUGUGGACGUGGCCAUCGUGCCUUCUUCCACCCGGCUCCACAGCGGCCCCUGGGACGUCCCACCUCUGACCCUGCAAUCACACAUAUAUGUCCUAUCAGUCUGUUCCUCUAGUGAACCCUAAUCCAGGCAGCUACAGAAGUCUGGCUGGAUCCCACAGAGCAGGGAGACCCCACCUUGAGAUGGACACGUCACUGUCACACUGUGUGGGGGGUGUUACGAGGCGUGCACGGCUGGGGGGUGGGUGCAGACCUCCUGGGAAAUGCAGCCUAACUAAAAUUCAACAUAUCUUGAAAGAAUCUCUCAGGGCCUCAGCAAGUGCCCGCGGGAGGCUGUGAACGGAAACCGUGGGAUUUCAGAGCAGCGUGGACAGUCCGAUCCUAGUUGGCAGGAAGAAAUGCUAGCAGUGGCUCUUCCUGGGUUGUGAGGUAACAGGACAUAUUUCUUUUCUUCCUUCUUGGUGUCUGUGUUUUUAUCAUUUCCAGGAUAAACGUGUCAAUUUUAUAAUUAGAUAUAAAAAAAAAAGUAAAAAUACUGAGAAAAUGUUACCUUAGAAGGGACAAGGCCACCGACCUGAGCUUCGCCGACCCGUGGCCCCCCAGCCGCCUGCCCUGGUUUCACCCCCGCCCGUCUGCCAUCCUCAGCCUCGCCUGGAUCUUUCCUCUCUGUGGACAGUGAUUCUCUGGCCCCCGAGUGUUAACAGCUACAGCGCACUGUGGACUCUGCAACGACUGCCCUGUCUGCUUCCUGGCAGGGACCCUCUGGGCCCGCCUUCUCCACUUCCUCUCGCGCAGGUCUCCCCUCUGCCCCACAGCUCCCCUCUGCAGAAUGCCCUGGGCCGGUCACCGCACUGUCACAGGCCGGGCGACUGGGGCGGGCCCUGGCGCCUGCAGGGUUUCCCUUGGGCUCCUUGGUGCUUUAAAAUCGUUGAUUGAUUCCCACAUCUACCCGACGGGAAAGCCCCCACCAGCGCAGACUCUCAGUCUCCCUGAAACGGGGAGACCUCGCAGCACCGGUCACAAACAGCCCUGAGGGGCCCCGCAGCUGCUUCCGGAGGACGCAGGCUCCCAGGACGGCUGACCCACCGCGCUGGCCUGGAGCUGUCUGGUGCCCGGUUAGGCAUCUGGCCUCCCGCUGGCCUUGACCUGUGGAUUCUGAGUUAGGAUUCUCACCCAGUGAAGGCUUGGAAUGUCAUCACGAGGUUCAGGCAGCUUAAUGUGAGUGCCUGCCAGGCAAAGCUGAGGCUAGGGAGUGGGUGCCAGCACAUUUGAAAUGUGAUCCCCAGAACCUGAUAAGAGAGGGAGGCAGUGAGACAGACGAGCAGGAGGGUAGCUAGCGUGUGGGGGGCUAGUUGUUAUAACCUAGCUAUUGCGCCACGUUGCUGUUCUGUAUGCGCCUGAGUAGCCAUGAUAAACAAGUUGUGCUGUGGAAUUUCUCUCGAGUCUUUGUGACCUGACUGGUAUGCUGUGCUGAUAAACAUGUUGUGUUAGACCAAGAUAAUAUUUUCCUUAAAGGACAUAAUAAAAAAAACCAACUGUCCUUGUGCACUAGAAAAAUGCGUCAUCUGCUUGAUGUGCUGUCCUAUACCAAUCAUGUAAAACCACCUCAACCUUUAACUUGUAUCCCCCAAUCCGAAGCUGCCACUAACUAUCACCCCAUUACCACCCCUUCUUUGUGGUUUUUGUGCUUAAAUACAAUGUGCUUAGCUUGUGAGGCGCGCAUUCUCGGGGCCGGUCCUAUGAGUUUGCAUCAGCCAGGCCUGGAAUAAAUGCCUUUGCUCCCCAAAUUUGGAGUCUCUGAGUCUUGGCUUCCCACGGGGGUCAUGAGACCACAACACUAGUCAGCAGGGGGCCAGGGCAGCCACCUGCGGGUCCCGAGGCACUCAAAGAACAGGGAGUGCAGCAAGCUGGGCUCUGCAUCGCCAGCAGCUUCCCCACGCAGCCUGGGGCGCCGGGGUGCCGCCCUGCGCACCUGCACCAGGCUCCCAGGAAGGAAGCUGAGGACUGGUGUGCCAGGUGAUGGCCCCGUGCCCAUGGGCAGGGCCCUGGCAGUGUCUACUGAUGGCAUCCCCUCCCCUUAGCUGGCAUCACGGUGGCACCUGACACCUGUGACGGACAGGCUCUCGUUCUCCCUGUGCUCACCUGACGCCUUCCAUGGGGAGGGAAAUGCCUUGAGCACCUGCGAAUCCCGGCUUGCUCACCCCUAGGGGAGGCGCCAUGCACACAUCGGUCCCUGCCCUGCGCAGCCCUGGCUUCUGCAGGCCUCCCGAGGCUCCCCGGGAGGCACAGAUGAAUGGUCAGGGAAUCCCUCCCUGGUGGCUCCUCCGGCGUCCUCUGCAGGGUGCUGGCCCGAGCCCGAUCACCGUGGCCUGAUGCCCCACAGCACAUGGCCACGGGGACCGGCUCGCUGCCCUCGGUCAGCUGAGGGCGAAGCUCUGCUGUGCACGUGGCGCGUGCCCCGGGCGCUCAGGUGACUAUGGUCGCCUACUGUCAGCCUGGGCUCAUGGCUUCCCGCUCCUUCCAUGAGCAGGUGGAGGGAUGCGUGGGGACAGACUGACUGCAGGGCACACAGCCAGCGGGCAGUGGCUGGUUUAUCUGGAGCCAGCCGGGACCUGGGGUGACCGCCCACGUCUUGGGGAGUGGAGGCCGGGGGUCCCAGCCUCCUCUCCCCAGCCCUCACACUCCUAAGACCCCAACAAGAAUUCCUGGGGCAGCCUGUGGCCCCAGAGGACCCUUUCCAAGUCACCUGGAUCCAUAGCCAAAGACUGGGCACCCCGCCCGGGCUGCUGGGGGGCACUCCGCACACAGAGGACCCCUCAGUUCCUGCCAUCCAGCCGGCACCUCAUUGACUCGGUGCUCCAAGAGGGCUGAAGGUCAGAGCUGCAGUCCUCCGGCUCCCUGGUGAGGGGUCCCCUGCCCUAAGGCACCGGGAGGCCCAGGAAGCCGCGCCGCCCGAGCGAGGCUCUGCCCACAGCAAGGCAGGACUUGUGCGGAGCGCGGCGGCAGUGGGGACGGCAGCCCGGCGGGAACUCUCAGGAGGGCCCGGGUGGUGCGGGCAGCGCAGUGAGCCGGCCUGGGCCCGCAGCACCCCGGCGCCCGGAGACUCGCAGCGAGGUCAGCGGCGCGGUUCGCGCGCAGUCGGGAAGGUUCGCACGCCCUCGGCGCGGAGACCGUUCUGCCCGGCGCGUCCUCAGCUUCUCCAGCCGGCCGAGGGUUCCUGCGGACUCCAGCCCGGGCGGCUCCGGGCGCCCCUCUGCGGCCCCGCGGCCCCCACGGUGCCUCCGGCCUCCGGCCCAGGC
rnacentral:lncRNA from 1 species